GACGGACGCUGGCGGCGUGCCUAAUACAUGCAAGUUGAGCGCUGAAGGUUGGUACUUGUACCAACUGGAUGAGCAGCGAACGGGUGAGUAACGCGUGGGGAAUCUGCCUUUGAGCGGGGGACAACAUUUGGAAACGAAUGCUAAUACCGCAUAAAAACUUUAAACACAAGUUUUAAGUUUGAAAGAUGCAAUUGCAUCACUCAAAGAUGAUCCCGCGUUGUAUUAGCUAGUUGGUGAGGUAAAGGCUCACCAAGGCGAUGAUACAUAGCCGACCUGAGAGGGUGAUCGGCCACAUUGGGACUGAGACACGGCCCAAACUCCUACGGGAGGCAGCAGUAGGGAAUCUUCGGGAAUGGACGAAAGUCUGACCGAGCAACGCCGCGUGAGUGAAGAAGGUUUUCGGAUCGUAAAACUCUGUUGGUAGAGAAGAACGUUGGUGAGAGUGGAAAGCUCAUCAAGUGACGGUAACUACCCAGAAAGGGACGGCUAACUACGUG
rnacentral:rRNA from 1 species